rnacentral:ncRNA from 1 species
CAAAGGUUUGGUCCUAGCCUUGAAAUCAGUUUUUACUUAAUUUACACAUGCAAGUAUCCGCACCCCUGUGAAAACGCCCUUUAAUCCCUAAAUGGGAAAAGGAGCUGGUAUCAGGCACAACUAAAUGCCCAAGACACCUAGCUACGCCACACCCACAAGGGAAAUCAGCAGUGAUCAACAUUGAACAUAAGCGACAGCUUGAUUCAGUUAAAGUAAAAAGAGCCGGCAAAUCUGGUGCCAGCCGCCGCGGUUACACCACGUGGCUCAAAUUGAUUUUUAUCGGCGUAAAGCGUGAUUAAAGAAACCUAAGAUUAGAGUUAAACUAAAACUAAGCUGUGGCACGCUUGUUAUUCAUGAAACCCAAAAACGAAAGUUACCCUAAUUUACUCAACUUGAACUCACGACAGCUGGAAAACAAACUGGGAUUAGAUACCCCACUAUGCCCAGCCGUAAACUUUUAAUUACUCCCGAAUCGCCUGGGAACUACGAGCAAAGCUUAAAACCCAAAGGACUUGACGGUACCCCAUAUCCCCCUAGAGGAGCCUGUCCUAUAAUCGAUAAUCCCCGUUUAACCUCACCAUUUUUAGCUUAUCAGUCUGUAUACCUCCGUCCUCAGCUUACCUCGUGAGCGAAACCUAGUAAGCCCAAUGCCCACACGCCAAUACGUCAGGUCAAGGUGCAGCAAAUGAAAUGGGAAGAGAUGGGCUACACUUUCUAACAUAGAACACACGAAAGACUACCUAUGAAAUCUAGUCAGAAGGCGGAUUUAGAAGUAAAAAGAAAAUAGAGUGUCCUUUUUAACCUGGCACUGGGGUGUGUACACACCGCCCGUCACCCUCUUCACAUAGUCCUAAAUUAGUAUUUAACCAAAUUUAUCUAAUCAGAAGAGGCAAGUCGUAACAUGGUAAGUAUACCGGAAGGUGUGCUUGGAAA